UGCAGUCGAGCGGUAGCACAGAGAGCUUGCUCUCGGGUGACGAGCGGCGGACGGGUGAGUAAUGUCUGGGAAACUGCCUGAUGGAGGGGGAUAACUACUGGAAACGGUAGCUAAUACCGCAUAACGUCGCAAGACCAAAGUGGGGGACCUUCGGGCCUCAUGCCAUCAGAUGUGCCCAGAUGGGAUUAGCUAGUAGGUGGGGUAAUGGCUCACCUAGGCGACGAUCCCUAGCUGGUCUGAGAGGAUGACCAGCCACACUGGAACUGAGACACGGUCCAGACUCCUACGGGAGGCAGCAGUGGGGAAUAUUGCACAAUGGGCGCAAGCCUGAUGCAGCCAUGCCGCGUGUAUGAAGAAGGCCUUCGGGUUGUAAAGUACUUUCAGCGAGGAGGAAGGCAUUAAGGUUAAUAACCUUGGUGAUUGACGUUACUCGCAGAAGAAGCACCGGCUAACUCCGUGCCAGCAGCCGCGGUAAUACGGAGGGUGCAAGCGUUAAUCGGAAUUACUGGGCGUAAAGCGCACGCAGGCGGUCUGUCAAGUCGGAUGUGAAAUCCCCGGGCUCAACCUGGGAACUGCAUUCGAAACUGGCAGGCUAGAGUCUUGUAGAGGGGGGUAGAAUUCCAGGUGUAGCGGUGAAAUGCGUAGAGAUCUGGAGGAAUACCGGUGGCGAAGGCGGCCCCCUGGACAAAGACUGACGCUCAGGUGCGAAAGCGUGGGGAGCAAACAGGAUUAGAUACCCUGGUAGUCCACGCCGUAAACGAUGUCGACUUGGAGGUUGUGCCCUUGAGGCGUGGCUUCCGGAGCUAACGCGUUAAGUCGACCGCCUGGGGAGUACGGCCGCAAGGUUAAAACUCAAAUGAAUUGACGGGGGCCCGCACAAGCGGUGGAGCAUGUGGUUUAAUUCGAUGCAACGCGAAGAACCUUACCUACUCUUGACAUCCAGAGAACUUAGCAGAGAUGCUUUGGUGCCUUCGGGAACUCUGAGACAGGUGCUGCAUGGCUGUCGUCAGCUCGUGUUGUGAAAUGUUGGGUUAAGUCCCGCAACGAGCGCAACCCUUAUCCUUUGUUGCCAGCGGUUCGGCCGGGAACUCAAAGGAGACUGCCAGUGAUAAACUGGAGGAAGGUGGGGAUGACGUCAAGUCAUCAUGGCCCUUACGAGUAGGGCUACACACGUGCUACAAUGGCAUAUACAAAGAGAAGCGACCUCGCGAGAGCAAGCGGACCUCAUAAAGUAUGUCGUAGUCCGGAUUGGAGUCUGCAACUCGACUCCAUGAAGUCGGAAUCGCUAGUAAUCGUAGAUCAGAAUGCUACGGUGAAUACGUUCCCGGGCCUUGUACACACCGCCCGUCACACCAUGGGAGUGGGUUGCAAAAGAAGUAGGUAGCUUAACCUUCGGGAGGGC
rnacentral:rRNA from 1 species